ACCUCCCUCGGCUGCCCGCCUGCCCUGUCAGCUUCUGGACUUUUACCGUUUUGGAAAGAUGCUGGAAGGUAUAUGAAGAGGGUGGGACGUGGUGGAACGGGAGUCAGUGAACGACAGCCAUCCACGAGAAACGGAGUUGCCUGAUGACAGAUGUUUAUGGCCGAUCCCAGAAUUCCCGACUCAUCUGCCAUGCGUCCUCGGGAGCUGUGGAGUGUGACAAUGGUGUUUGUGUCCUGUCAAUCAAACGCCAUCAUCACACUAAAUAGCUACAGGAUCUAGCCUGCUUCUUGCCCCAACUAGGCUGGGAUAGGCUCCAGCUCACCCACAACUCGAAUACCGACAAGCACUUUAUAGAAAAUGAAUGGAAGAAAAUAAACCUCUAACAAAUAAAAGCAUUCACACUGAAUCCAUCAAUAACAAUACAGUUUGUCCUCUGCUCUAUGUUUCAUAGUCAACAGUGUUUCUUCCAAUAAGCUAAUUAACCAGUUCAUUAAUUUAAUGAACACAACGUGCUUGGAAACAUCACAAGUAAAAAAAGAAAA